rnacentral:tRNA from 1 species
UCCCUGGUGGCUCAGAGGUUAAAGCGUCUGCCUCUACUGCAGGAGACCUGGGUUCGAUCCCUGGGUCGGGAA